rnacentral:rRNA from 1 species
UUGAACGCUGGCGGCAGGCCUAACACAUGCCAGUCGAGCGGAUGAGUGGAGCUUGCUCCAUGAUUCAGCGGCGGACGGGUGAGUAAUGCCUAGGAAUCUGCCUGGUAGUGGGGGACAACGUUUCGAAAGGAACGCUAAUACCGCAUACGUCCUACGGGAGAAAGUGGGGGAUCUUCGGACCUCACGCUAUCAGAUGAGCCUAGGUCGGAUUAGCUAGUUGGUGAGGUAAAGGCUCACCAAGGCGACGAUCCGUAACUGGUCUGAGAGGAUGAUCAGUCACACUGGAACUGAGACACGGUCCAGACUCCUACGGGAGGCAGCAGUGGGGAAUAUUGGACAAUGGGCGAAAGCCUGAUCCAGCCAUGCCGCGUGUGUGAAGAAGGUCUUCGGAUUGUAAAGCACUUUAAGUUGGGAGGAAGGGCAGUAAGUUAAUACCUUGCUGUUUUGACGUUACCAACAGAAUAAGCACCGGCUAACUUCGUG